UGGGUGACAGAGUGAGACCCCACCUCAAAACAAAAACAAAAACAAAAAAACCCUGUAACCCAAAACCCUUCCCAAUGCUUAAAGUCUCUCUCCCUCUCCAGUCCGAUCCCCCUUUCAUGGGCUGAAGCCUUCCCCACGUGGAUGGGGACACGAGCAACAUCAACAGCAUGAGGACUACCCUGGCCCAGGCAAGAAGUAAGUAGAGUUUCUGGAAGCCAGCAGCUUCUCUCUUUCUCUCUCAUCUUCACAGGUAUGCAGGCAGGGAACCAGCCUCGGCGAUGGAAAUCAAUGAAUAAGACUUAACCUUCCUGGUGGCAAAUACUCCAACAGGGACAUCACAGACCUUCCACAACUCUGAGGAAGAUGAAAGUCUCCCGUGCACCCAGCUCUGGCUGAGGACGGAAUGACCUGGGGAGAACUUGGGCACUUCAGCUGCCCACAAAGCCCCAGGGAGAAAACCUUCCCAAAAAGGCAGUGGAUAAAUCAGAAUGCAGUGAGGAGCGGAUCCUUUCCAGGACCAAGACAGAUGCUGAAGAAGACAGCAGGGACCGGAGCCCAGCAAACUGGAUGAGAGCAGCAAGGCCUUCAUGCAUCUUCAGGCUCCAUCAGCAGAGGGAGAGAAUGCAUUAGACGGGAGUUUCCUGACUCCUAUUUUCUAAUGUGGCAGU
rnacentral:lncRNA from 1 species